rnacentral:rRNA from 1 species
UACAGAGACUGCAAGCGUUAUUCGGAUUCACUGGGCGUAAAGGGUGCGCAGGCGGCCAAGUGUGUUAGGCGUGAAAGCCUGGAGCUUAACUCCAGAAUUGCACCUAAAACUACAUGGCUAGAGCAUUGGAGAGGGUAGCGGAAUUCACGGUGUAGCAGUGAAAUGCGUAGAUAUCGUGAGGAACACCAGAGGCGAAGGCGGCUACCUGGACAAUUGCUGACGCUCAGGCACGAAAGCGUGGGGAGCAAAAGGG